GCCACAAAUAUAAGCACGCACGAGACAUAGAAAUUAAAUGGACUCCUGCAGGGCUGCAUCGUAGGGCAGCAAAACCAUCGAAGGCACUGUCGAUAUAUCGUUUCAGCGAAAUGGUAUGAUUUUUAAGGCUAGAAAAUCAAUAAGGCGCACUUAAAUGGGGUGUGAAAAGGGAGAAGUGAAAUGCAUUAUAGGAAACAAUCUGCUCUAAUACUGGAAGCGCAAAAUAUUUGUUUUUUUUAUUUUGUGCCAAUUUAAAAUCUCUAUGGUGUAAUCAUCGAUGGAACGACCAUCUAUCGAUGGUUUUGCAGCCCUGGCACAAAUGUGAAAAAAACUGCAACUAUACGAUGUAAAAAUUGUUAUUAAUGUUUAAUGCAAGUGUAUUAUUUUAUAGUGGAUCAAAAAUGGGAAAAGUGAAUGACCUCAGGGAACUGUACAGCGUUGUGUGAUUGGACCUUGGCCAGCCUGGAUCUGCAUCCUAGCUAGAAAGACGGGUGUACAAAGUGAUUUGUGUGUUUAAAAUUUUUGCAAGCGACGCCUCCAAAAUUUCAACAAAUGUGUACAAAUAAUAAAUGAGAUCAAAACAGAAGCUACCAUGUAACACUCUUUCAAUAAAGUGUUAUUGCAACAUACAUAUGAAAACGAGCUAGAAUAUUAUUUGGCGGAUUCAACUUGGGCUGAGGGUUGAGCGGAUAUGUCUAAUCAAUAUCCCUACCACAUCAUUUUGUCUUGCAGGGAUCGAAGAUGAAUUCAAAGUGCAGUUGCCGUUGCUGCCCCUGCUCAAGCGGAAGUCAGGCUCUGGCUCAGUGAAGCAAAGCUUCGACCACCUGGACGUCUGCUUCACGCGUAGCAAUCGGGGUAACAACCUGCUCACCAUAGACGGCAAACCCUUCACGCUUAACCGUCGCAUCAAGGAUGCCUGCUACUGGGAGUGUGUCAAGCUGCGUUGCAAAUACAUCAAGUGUACAGCGCGUGUGGUAACCAAAUCAAAUCAGAUCUCGGCUCUGCGCGGCCAUCACAAUCAUCCCUAAGUCAAGUCCUUCCUGUGCCAUACUCCUCAUUUUAGUGAAAUAAAACGUUUUUUCUGUUAAACCAAAAUGCCAUUGUAGCUUCUAUGGCGAUGGCGUCUACCAGCUGGUGACCAAUCGGCGCGGUGGCCAGAACCUCAUAUACAAUGGUCACAUGUACUCAGUGGAGCGAAAGUACC